CCUCUUCUACUUGGCGUGGGUCGGGCAUGCGGUCCCGAUCCCCGCAAUGUACUAAGGGAGAGGGAAAGGUCUCCAGCCCUCUCGGCUGCAUAUCUUCGGUGCUGAUGGUUUCCAGUCCAUUGGUUCUAUCCUCAAGCACCGGGACAUGG